GAUGCUCAUGUAAAGAGGCGGACUCCUGAAGAGGUUGUUGCAGAGAUGCACGAUAAAGGUCCCCAACAAUCUACAAUGGAGAACCGUAUGAGAUCAGAAGAGGAAAGAGAUAAACUCCGUUCUUACUUUGCAAGGUGGGCUUUUGAAAGUGGCGUUCCAUUCAAUGCAUUGAAGCUAAGGAGUUUCAAGGAGUAGGUUGAGGCAAUUGGACAAUAUGGGCCAGGUUUCAAGCCCCCUUCAUUUCAUGAUUAUAGAGUUCCUCUAUUGAAGUCUGAGAAAGAGAAAACUGAUGAGUUAAAGAUG